rnacentral:rRNA from 1 species
AGGACGAACGCUGGCGGUGUGCUUCACACAUGCAAGUCGAACGGAGUAGCAAUACUUAGUGGCGGACGGGUGAGUAACGCGUGGGAAUCUGCCAUCUGGUGGGGGAUAACUAGUCGAAAGAUUAGCUAAUACCGCAUAUGCCGUGAGGUAAAAGGAGUAAUCCGCCUGAUGAUGAGCCUGCGUCCGAUUAGCUAGUUGGUGGGGUAAAUGCCUACCAAGGCUCCGAUCGGUAGCUGGUCUGAGAGGACGAUCAGCCACAAUGGGACUGAGACACGGCCCAUACUCCUACGGGAGGCAGCAGUGGGGAAUUUUACGCAAUGGGGGAAACCCUGACGUAGCGACACCGCGUGAGCGAAGAAGCCCUUUGGGGUGUAAAGCUCUGUCGGCUGGAACGAAAAAAAUGACGGUACCAGCAAAGGAAGCAUCGGCUAACUACGUGCCAGCAGCCGC